GAUUAGAUGGCUGAAUUAUAGGCGAUAGAUUGUAAAUCUAUUAAUGGGUAUAACUCUCUAUUCA
rnacentral:tRNA from 1 species